rnacentral:rRNA from 1 species
ACUACGGGUGGCAGCAGUGGGGGAUAUUGCACAAUGGGGGAAACCCUGAUGCAGCGACGCCGCGUGGGCGAAGAAGUAUUUCGGUAUGUAAAGCCCUAUCAGCAGGGAAGAAGAAAUGACGGUACCUGAGUAAGAAGCACCGGCUAAAUACGUGCCAGCAGCCGCGGUAAUACGUAUGGUGCAAGCGUUAUCCGGAUUUACUGGGUGGAAAGGGAGCGCAGGCGGCCCGGCAAGCCUGAUGUGAAAGCCCGCGGCCCAACCGCGGGACUGCAUUGGGAACUACCGGGCUGGAGUGCCGGAGAGGUAGGCGGAAUUCCUAGGGUAGCGGUGAAAUGCGUAGAUAUUAGGAGGAACACCAGUGGCGAAGGCGGCCUACUGGACGGUGACUGACGCUGAGGCUCGAAAGCGUGGGGAGCAAACAGGAUUAGAUACCCCAGUAGUC